AGGUGGGCGGGGCCAGCGAUGGGGGCGUGGCGAGGGAACGGAACGGGGAUAAAGAGGGGUGGGCGUGGCCUAACGUAGCCUCGCCCACCCAGGAGGCGGGGCGAGGGUUGUGGGCGGAGCUUGAGGCAGCACGUGUGGCGCGGGAAGGGGCGGAGCUUCGGGCGCAGGAGGCGGAGUCACAAUGCCGGGAAAAGGAGGCGGAACUGAAGAGGCUGCGACAGGCAGUGGCUGCAGCCCACCAUGCCCGGCGGAAGGCAGAACAGGACCGGGAUGACAUCUCCACCCACCUGCCCCCCCCACCCCCACCCACGGGGGACCACGACCCUGUGGGGCUGCAGGCAGCGCUGGUGGAACUGCGGGAGCACAACUGGGAGCUGCGGCAGCGCCUGCACCAAAGGCACGAGGAGGUGGGGGCUUAUAGGGCACCUAUAGGGGUACCU